UGCCUGAAACAUAAUAAUAAUUUGUAAUAUUUUUCGUCUUCUUGAACAAACUCCUCGGAUGUAAAAAAGUACGUUUUAAUUAAAACACUGCGGUAUGGAUUACGUACAGCCAAGAGCCAUUAGAUUUCAAAUGUGCCACUCCGUUUAUAAUAUCAUUUAUACGGCCGGGAUCUGCAUAAAGUACGUUUUUUUACUCGAACGAGAAUCGUGUUAACGGUUAUUGUUGUUGU